rnacentral:lncRNA from 1 species
CUCUAUUAUAAUCUGAUAUGUGGAAUGUGAGAAUAAUAGUUUGUAAGAUCCUUAUGAUGAUGUGGAUUAUUGUGAGUAUCAGGAGAGACUUGGAUGUUAUUACAUAUUACUUAUUAUGAGAGCUUUAAAAUAGAUAGCAGCAUUACAUAACAGGUAAGACCAAGGUUCCAAGACAUCUGUAACAAUUGGUCAAAGGUUUCAGGAAGUGGAUAAUCUAGAGCAGCAAUCUAACAAUAGCAGCAGUAACAACAGCAACAUCGUGCAUAGCAUUGUUCUGUUUGGUGAGUGGAGAAUUCCCAGAGAAACCAUUCUCACAAUAGGUAGCCUCAUUAGCAGCAUCAUUAGCCCCAUCUUCAGCAAACUUGGGGUCCCCUGCCUGCAGAGCAUAAGUGGCUUUUGGAACAUCACCUACCAACACUGCAUUGUAAUUACUAGCACAAGAACUGAGGGCUCCUUGCUGCUUAGGUCCUCCUCCCUUCUUUUGCAAGUCAUGGAUUAUUUUCAAGGCAUCAUUUGCUUUGGCUUUGAUCACGUUUACCAUGAUAAGAGCCAGUCCUGAGACAUCAGCAGUAGAGCUUCCAGGGCUUGCCUUGAGAUAUUGAAGGCAAAGAUUGUAGUUGGGGGUCUUCUUGCAAGUGCUCUCUAUCAGACUUUCAUCGUUUGGAAGGAAGCUUCUGCACUCGCUUCCUGGUAUUGUAUUCAUAACAACAAUGGCUUCGAGAAACAAACAGAGAAUCACUGGCUUCAAGUUUGCCAUUGUGAAUUUUUCAAAGAGAUUGCUCACAACAGUAGUUUGGUUCCUCUUUAUAGAAUGAUGUAGGUUUUUUUUUAUAAGUGUUGAGACAAUUUCUAAAAUAUCCUUAUUAUUUAAUUCUUAAAAUAUCCUUAUAAAGAAAAAAAUAAUUCUGAACUUACGUCUCACUUUACUUUUUCCACCAAGACAGUUUUUAUUAUUUAAAAUUCAAAUAUUCUUAGUCAAUCAAAGUUAUUUAUGAUUUUAAUUAAAGAUAAUCAGUAUCAGAUUAUAAUUAUGUAAUUAUAUCAUAUGAACAGCUUUUAAAGUAACAUUUUUUUAAUAUAUCUAAUACAUAUACACUUUUUCAACGUACGUUAUGGCUUUUCAAACCUACUUCCUGCAUUAAUACUAAUUUUACAACUUUGAAUAAAAAAAUGUGGAACUGUCAUCUUUUAAAAUUGUUUAUUAUCAUUACUUUCUGUAUUAAUUAAUACUGUUUUUUCAACUUUAAAUGAAAAAAAAUUGUUUAUCAUCGUGAUUCAAAGUUGCUUUCUGUGAUUAAACAUCCACCGUUGUAUGUUCGCUCCAUAAAUUUUUAUUUAUUGGCUUUCAAAUUCAAUCCUAAUCCUAAGUUACGAACAAAGAUCCUUAGAAUUAUUAAUUGAAAAUUAUUUCUAAUCACUUAAAAUUGAUAUAUUAUGUGUAUUUUUUUUUUUGCAAAUUUUAAUUAAUGGUUAUGACACUAUUUGUACCGGUGGGGAUCGAGUAAGCCACAUCACUCGGUCUCGAUUUAUCACCAAGUAAUUAACCACAUUAAAGAGCAAAUUGAUAAUGAAUGACAACUAAGGAAACAUUCAUAUAAAUUCGAGUCACACCCUGCCAAUUUCGGGUGACACCCCGAAAAAUCAUCUAACAUUGAUUUACUAAAGAUAUGCUCAAAGUAUACCUUCCUAGAAAUCUGGAUGGCAUUCCGAGAAAUCAGCUAACAUUGAUUUAUUGAAGAUAUGAGUAAGAUAUGACCCGUCAAGCAAAUAGCUCAUUACCAAACACUAUAAACAAGUCUUCUACGAUGGAUUGAUGUGCGCUUUUAUCAGUUUUGAUAUCCUACACUUUCAAUAGAUAGUAUUUACCUGAUUGUCAGAGAACCUUCUAUAGGUUUACUCCCAACCGAGCGCUCAGGAGAUAAGAAGUGGAAAUGUUGAAGUCUGAAGGAGUGAAAGAACUGAGCAACUGGAAAACAAGGGAGCACGACCGAAUGAUCGACACCGACAACAAUAAUUUCAGGUACUAUCUAGGCUCACUUUGUCUAUACAAGUAGAAUUGGUGUCCCCGCUCGUCACCACCUGAAGGUGGCACCAAAUCAUUCAUGGGGGCGGACGAGCCCCCCCCCCCCAUCCAUUUCUAGCGACUUCUUUUGUCUCUUCAUCGUGUGACAGCAAUUAAUUCAAUACAUUGGCAGCACCAAGGUCAGUUUGAGCCAUAGUUCCUGCAAGUUAACAUAAAAUUAAACACACAGUCAACAAAUUGAAUAAAAACACCAACAGCUUAAACACUAUGUAUCGCCAAAGUCCACCCAACAGUGGGUCGAUUUGUAUACCGCCAGUAUAUUUCGAGUAGGUUGCCUAUUCUGAAGUUGGUUGAGUACGUAGAAUACCUCCUUGUCUUGAGGGGUCAUGGAUGAUCUUGGCCAUGAUUUGUAACAAGUGAGCGACCGAGUCCAAUCAAAUGGAAAUUUAUGCUUCCCAUCAAAAUCAUAAAAGUAGGGUUUAUCGUUCGAUUCGAUGAAUAUUUUGAAAUACCUCUGCUUGAAAUUCUUAUAGCCUAGGAUGGGAGAAUUAUAAUAAAACAAAAAAGAUUGUGGGGACGACCUCAAUCGAAGGGCAUCACUAAUUCGCCUAAAUGCUUGGAGGACCGCCACGAGUUUGGAUGUAACUUGGUAUGAGCAACGUUGAGAAUACCAAGGACUCCCAUUUCAAAUUCAUCAAACAGAUGAGUUACGUGUAAAUCGUUAAAAAGGCAAGUGUAUGCAAAGAAAAAGUCUCGAGAACCAUUUUCCCGAUGUGAGACCUGAUCAGUGUGAUUACAAUUAUUGGAGUUCGAUUUUAACAUAGAAACUUUAGAAAGAAAUCCAUCUAAAGCAAAGGAACCCCUAAAACAGGUAGGUAUAUCAAGGACGCAUGGGUCAACCCACUCAGAAUUAGGACAGUGAGGCAGGCGGCUAGCAAGGUCGAUCGCCUGGUUAGAACGACCCACAUCCUUCACCUCGUUAGGAUUAGAAUGUGUUUGUUUUGAUGAAGAAGAAUAAGAAGGAAUGCUAGAAGACCCAGAAGAAGAAUCUAUUACUAACCUCUUGAAGAACAAAUGCAAUGAACAAAGGUGAAGAGUAACUUUGGAGCACUCGAACAAAGAAUGUCGGUACUCAGACAACUUUGAAGGCUUGGAUUCAAAGCAAGAAGAUGGACACGUAGCAAAGUUACAAAAGGACUCUUAUUUAUAGAUUUUUGAAAACGAAAGAACGAAAGGUUGCCUCCUUUAAAACCGUUAGAUUUGUUUCAAUCCAAGGGUUAGAUUUGAUAAAACCGUUAGAUUUAUAAUAGUACCAAAAUCUGAAUAAAAUAUUAAAAAGUAUGUGCUUCAAAAUACACAUAUAACACCGGUUGUGGCUCCCAAUCGGUAUUAUAUAACACCAAGAUGUUCAACAUAUAACAAUUACCCAAUGUAAAACAUAAUACAUUAUAUUCCAAAUACAAUAUAAUAAAACUGAUUAUCUAUAUAAAUAAUUGUAAACCAUAUAAUAAUUAAAAAUAAAAAUCUAACCUAGAGCGUGAACGGAGUUGUAGCGGUAAUGGAGGCAAUGUGGAGGCAACAGAGGUGACAAGAGCAACGAAAAGAGUGACAACAAAAAAGCAGAGACGCGUGAACGGAAGAAUCUCAUUCGGUGUGAAUGCUCUCACGACGAAGAGAACAAAAUAAGAGAGAAUCGACGAGCGGAGCAGUGGGAGGAGCGAUGGAGGCAAGAGAGGGAGCGGUGGAGGCAACGGCUGGCAGUGACAAUGGCAGAAGCAAAAUGAACUCUUGAGUAAGAAAACUUUGAAGAAUAACACGAAUGGAGAGUGGGGACACGAACCAAGAAAAUAUGAUAAAAACAUAUAUUACAUCGGUUAUGAGUAAUAACCAAUAUAAUAUAUAUUUUUUAUAAUUCUAGUUAUUUUAGAAAGGAAAGUGCUAAAUCACAAAUGCAUGCUAAAUUAAUAAAUCACUUCCUUUAAAUAAAACAUCAAUCUACUAAAUAUAUUAUUCGACUUAAUCACAUUUUUAAUACUUUUUACAAUGAUUUAAAUUACUUGAUUUUAAAUAUCAUUUUCAGGCAAUUAAUAUAAAUUUACGAGUUCACCUAGUUUCAACUACUAAUGUAUUGUUUUGAUAUAUAAAAUUGAGGGAGUGCAUUUGAAUAUAUUUGAAGAAAAAUAUGGAAGAAAGUGAGAUUGGUUGGAUUAAGAUAAAUAAAUUAUAAUUCUUUUUAAUUGAUAAAGAAUAGUAUAAAAGAUAUUUUAAAAAAUGUAAAUAAAAUUAAAAUAAUUUUAAAUUAAAAUAAAUAAAUAAAUAUAAACUGUAAUAUAUAAAAAUUUAUAUUUUAAAAUAAUAAUAAAUUAAUUUAAAUUUAAUAUCAAAUAAAAUAUUGUUUUUAAUAUGUUAUUAAAAUAAAAUAUUCACAUUUAUUUAUUAUUUUAAUAUUUUUUAAAUUAUUUAUUUAAAAAAUCAAGUAAAUUAUAUUAUAAACUAAUUUAUUAAAAAUAAUUUUUUCAAACUUUUUUCACAAUUUUAAAUAGAAAGUAUGAACCUUAUUUUUUUCUCGAUUAAUAUUUUUAUUCAUUUUGAAUUUCAACAGACCAUAAAUAUUUAUUAAAUUACAUAUGUUUCAAUAGUUACCUUGAAAAAUGUUCACUUUAGCGAGUUGUAUUAAAACAACAAUGUCUUGCGAUUAACUAAUUAGUUUAAAUGUGUUUCAUUCAUCAAUAAAAGGUUCAAAACAAAUUACAUUAUAUGGAUACACAUUUAUAAUAAAAAUGUUAUCUAUCAAUCAUUAUAAACAUUUAUAAUUGUUUUUUUCUUGUGACUUGUCUCCAAAUCUAAUAGCCCUAAACAGACCCAUCACAUAUGUGAUGCUCAUCAUUCAUAAAUUCACAAGUUCAUAAAUAUGUUUCAUUCUAUUAAAAAAAUAUAUACCUACUAAGUAACUCUAUCAAACCCAUCACCAACAAUACGAAGAAUGGUCAAAAUGUUAUUUACAUAAAUUACGUCAAUGUUAUCUUACGGUGAUAAUUGAUUUUAUAAAUGUAGCAAAUGUUUAUAAUAUAUAUAUAUAUAUAUAUAUAUAUAUAUAUAAAGUUUUCUAUUUAAUUAAUCUAAAAAUUGAAAUAAAUUUUACAAUUGUAUUGGUCGAAGUCGAAUGAGCCACAUCACUUGGCAUCAUUGACCGCCCACCUAAUGACUAACUACAUUAAAAAAACAAAUCAAAGAUAAAUGAUAAGUAUGAUAAGAUCCUACAAAUUAGGGUAACUUUUCUAUAAAUUUAGGCUGGACCUCGCUAAAUCUGGGAGUUAUGAGAUGAAUUGGCUAAAACUAAUUUAUUGAAGAUACGAUACGACUCAUGAAUAAAAUAUUCCACUACCAAACACUAUAAAUAAGCCUUCUACGUAAGAGACUAAGUUACGGUUUUAUCAAUUUACAUCAAACACUUUCAAUACAGAGUACUUACUUGAUGGUCAGAGAACCUUCUAUAGGUUAACUCCCGAUCGAGCACCAAUGAGUUGAAGAGUUAAAGCUCCAAGGAGAACAAGAGGAGCGAAAAAAAGAACGAUCAUGACAAGGGAACGAAUACGAGAAGAGUGACUGACACCAACAACAGUUGUUACUGCCAGUUCCAGAUACUAUCUAGGCUCCCUUACUCUAUACAAUUACAAGAACUAAACAAAAUCAAUGACUAAAAUGAUGCAGAAAUUUUUCUUCAAAUCAUUACCAAAAAGCAAAUGAAAAUAUCCAAAUCUUGACAUGAAAAUGAGAUAGAAAAAGAGGAAUGAUACUAGUCAGAACACAAUGUUAGAAAAUUAUGUAAAUUAAUUUAUAAUGUUACUCAUAUGAAAUAGUUUUUGGACUUUGGGUCUGAAUAUGAUUUAAUAAAAUAAAAGAUCAAUUGGUUAAUGUAAGAAUUUAUAUAUAUAUAUAUAUAUAUAUAUAUAUAUUAUGAUACCUAAUGAAAACCUAAUCUGAUGGAGAUUUGGAAAUAAUAUAAACGGGUUUUGUCUCUGCAAAGGAAGUUGUUCACGGUUAACCAUAAAAAAAGAACAUGAAAAGAAAGGAAUUGCAAGUAAUAUUAAGUUUGUUCUUACAAAACUGAAAGUACAAAAGAAUUCAUUAGAUUUGUGGAAGAGCUCCCAAAAUAUUGAUAAGUCUCUUUGCCGGGGACAUUAAAGAGUACCUUAACUCCCAUGAAAUUUGAUAGUUCUCGUACUAAGCAUGAAUAUGUCAUUGAGAUGAAAAAUAUUGCAGCAAGACUUAAAUAUAUAGGAAUGACACUGGAUAAAGUAUUUCUUGUGCACUUCCUCUUGAACUCAUUACUGUAUAAGUAUGGUCCUUUCCAAAUGAACUAUAAUACCAAGAAAGACAAAUGGAAUGCUCAUGAAUUGUACAUUACGUUAGUUCAGGAAGAGAGCAGACUUAAGAACCAAGGAAACCACUCCAUUAAUUAUGUGAACAAUCAGGGAAAGAAAAAUGAGUUCUCUACUAAAGAAAUAGGGAAAGGCUAAAGGAUCGUUAAAGAUAAAUGAGUUCUCUACUAAACUCCAGAACAAAAAUGAAAAAUUUCAUUUUUGUGGGAAAUUUGGACAUUUCCAAAAGGAUUGUCUGAAACGUAAGGCUUGGUUCAAAAAGAAAGGAAAACAUAAUGAAUAUUAUGUAUGUUUUGAAUCAAACUUAACAAAAGUUCCACAUAAUUCUUGGUGGAUUGAUUCUGGAUGCACAACUCAUGUUUCUAAUAUGAUGCAGGGAUUCCUUUCAACCCGAACCAUAAAACCAAAUGAAAAGUUUGUCUUUAUGGGGAAUGGAGUGAAGGUUUUAGUGGAAGUUGUCGGGACUUAUCGUUUAAUCCUUGACACUGGAUUUUAUUUAGGAUUGAUAGAUACUAUUUAUGUACCUAGUAUCACUAGUAUCUUUAGGAAUUUGAUUUCUUUGUCUAAACUUGAUGUUGCUGGAUACUCUUUUAAAUUUGAGAAUGGUUGUUUCAGUUUGUAUAAGUGUACUUAUUUGAUUGGAUCUGAUACUCUUUACGAUGGUUUAUAUAAAUUCAAUCUUGAUAAUUUAUAUUGUACCGGUACUGGGCGAGACUGGGACCCACCUGGCUGCCCGAUGCCCAGUCAACCUGGCCGAGGGACCGAAAGGCCGAGACCCCUUGAAGACUUGGCCGAGAGACCGAAAGGCCGAGACCUUUUGGAGACUUGGCCGAGAGAUCGAGACCGUUGAAGACUCAACUGAGACGGCCGAAGGCCACGGGUAUUUGGCCGACGGCCGGCCCUCAUCACGAGAAUUUGGCCGAUGGUCGAACCCCAUUACAAUUAACACUCAAACCGAGAUCAGUGAAGCUAAUCCAUCAUCAAGAAUUAGGUAAUGCAACCCUAAGCGGUAUCCACCUCGAUAAACGGGCCCAACAAGGUAGGCCCACUAGAAUAAUAUAAAUAGCACGCAUUUCAAGGAGUAAGGUAUGUCAUUAUUACUGUUCACCUACCUGAGAGCUAACCACCCGCUUUACUGACUUAAGCGUCGGAGUGCCUUCGCAGCUACCCCCACCAUCCGGUGUUCACCCGACGACCGAGUCCUGAGUGCCGAAGGAUAAGCAGGAGGACGAGAAGAAUCCCAGUUCAUCACCCAGCCACCUGCCCGACCGAAGGAAGGAGAGGAAGACUUCAAUAGUUCUCUAGGUCCCAUCUCCCUGGUAGGAACAAUUGGCGCCCACCGUGGGGCCGAGGGAAACUAGCUGAAGGAAAAAAGUAGAUGGUUUCAACAAGAAGCAUGGAAAGAAUGACUGAAGCCGACCAAACGAUGUUGCUGCUGUCUCUCAAGAGGGAGAUGGCCGAGAUGCGAAGAAAGGCCGAGGAGGCCGCUCAGAAAAAUGAGCAAGAGCUACAAGUUCUCCGCAGGGAGAACGAGGAUAUGAGAAAGAAGCUGGGGGAGGGAGGACCCUCUGUCAUACCGACAAACGUGGUCGGCAAGUCCUACACCUCUCCCCCCAACUCGGAUGUGGCCGAGGGGACGAGAGGCCGACCCCCUCCCCGCGAGACUGAGAUGGGCGACGAGUCGUGCCUAAUCAGGUCCACCCGGACGACCCUGACGGCUGACCCGAACCGCCGACAUCCCUUCACAAACAACAUCAUCGAAGUCCCGCUUCCUAAGAAGUGGAAGGGUUUCAACCGAGACCGAUACGACGGGUCGACCGACCCGGACGAGCAUAUGGACGCCUACACCACCCAUAUGAGUCUCUACACCCCGGACGACGCCGUCUUGUGCCGAGUGUUCCCCACAUCCUUGAAGGGUGCAGCCCUUAGUUGGUUCACCAAGCUCUCACCCAACUUCAUCGACAGCUUUGCCACGCUUGUCGCAAAGUUCGAAACGCAGUUCGCGACCAGCCGGCCGCACCAUCUAACCUCCAUCGCUCUGGUAGGCAUCCGCCAGGAGAAGGGAGAGUCGCUGAGAACCUUCGUGGAUAGGUUCAGUAAAGUGGCGAUGAGCAUCCGGAAUCUGAGUCCGGAUGUCGCCAUGCACCACAUGCUGACGGCCCUACAUCCGGGGCCCUUUGCCGAUAAUCUAUGCAUGCAGCCGGCCGACAGCCUGGACGAGCUGAGAAAGAGAGCUGCUAAGUACAUGCAGCUAGAAGAGCUAAGAGAAUUCCGUAACCAGGCCCGUGCCGAGGCCGGUGGGGAGAAAAACAAGGAAGAGAAGGAUUGCCAGGGGCGGCCGAGUCAAAGGAACGACCGACGCCGGGAAAACCGAGACCGACCGAUCCGGUUCUCAAGAUACACACCGCUGACGACCGAGAGGGGGAGAAUUUUGGACGAGGCCCUCAAUGCCGAAUUGAUCCCUCCCCCAAGGAAGGUGGCCAGCCCAAAUAAUGGCGACCGGAGGAAGCAGUGUCGGUACCACCAAAAACAGGACACUCAACCGACGAGUGUCAGGCCCUUAAGGAUAAGAUCGAGGAACUUAUCUAGGCUGGGCUUCUCCGACGUUUCGUCAGGAAUGUCCAAGACCCACCCGGCCGGGCGGAUCCACCCAGGCAGACGAGGUCACCUCAGCGAGGCCGAGAAAACCAAAAUAACAGGGGCGACCGGCAACCCGCAAGGGUCGAUCCCCCUCGAAGAGACGAUUCCCCCAGGGACGCCGAUAGGAGAGGUAACCGAGAGGUUAUCAACACUAUAGCCGGCGGCUUCGCCGGGGGAGGAAGCACAAACAACGCCCGAAAGAAGCACCUCCGGGCGGUACACCAGGUAAACGCUGUGGCGUUUCGACCGAGAAUGCCACCCAUCACGUUCACGGACGAGGACUUCAAAGGCGUAGACUACCGCCAGCAGGACGACCCGAUGGUGAUAGCGGUCGACAUAGAUCGAUUCACCAUAAGGAAGACCCUCGUGGACCAAGGAAGUUCGGUAGAUAUCCUCUACUGGAAAACUUUCAAGGCCAUGAGAAUGACCGAGGCCGAGAUGAUGCCAUACGACGACCACGUGGUAGGAUUCUCGGGCGAAAGGGUGGGUACCAAGGGGUAUAUCGACUUGUACACCACCUUCGGAGAGGGGAAGAACACCAGGACCAUCAAAAUUCGGUACCUGGUCAUCGACGCCAACACCUCCUACAACAUCCUCCUCGGCCGACCGUCCAUCAACCGGCUGAUGGCCAUAGUAUCAACCCCUCACCUCGCAAUGAAGUUCCCUUCAAAAACAAGGGACAUUCUCACGGUCCACGUAGACCAAAAAGAAGCACGAGAGUGCUACGCCGAGAGCCUCCGGGUGGAACCUUUAAGGGCCGACACCUCUCCCCUCAGAAUAAGGAAGUCCUCCCGAAAAGACCGCUCCCCCAGGAUGGACCGACCGAGGGAAAUCAAGCCAACCGUGGCGUUGGUGGACCUCGACCCCCGGGCGACCGAAGACAGACUGGAGGUGAGAGAAGAGCUAAGGAGAGUCCCCCUCCUCGACGAAGAACACAGCACGGCUGUAGGAACAGCCUUGGCAGCGGCCGAGGCUGAGAUCAUGCAUGCUGCGCUAAAAAAGAAUAUCGACAUGUUUGCAUGGACGCCGACCGACAUGCCGGGGGUGAGCCCGGAUGUCAUCACCCAUCGACUGUCAAUAUUCAAGGAAGCCCGACCGAUCUCCCAAAAAAAGAGAGACUUGGGCAACGAGAAGCGACUCGCGGCGAAGGAGGAGGCCGAGAAGCUCCUGUCGGCCGGGUUCAUAAGGGAGGCCCGAUACAUGACAUGGCUGGCCAACGUCGUCAUGGUCACCAAGCCGAACGGUAACUGGAGAAUGUGCGUCGACUAUAGAAACAUCAACAGCGCAUGCCCGAAGGACACCUACCCCCUCCCGAACAUUGACCGACUGGUGGAUGGUGCGGCCGGCCACAAAAUUAUGAGUUUCUUAGACGCUUACUCUGGCUAUAACCAGAUAAGAAUGCACCCAAGAGACAAGGAAAAGACGGCCUUCAUGACGGCCGACUCCAACUACUAUUACGAGGUCAUGCCAUUCGGCCUCAAGAACGCAGGGGCGACCUACCAGCGCCUGAUGGACAAAGUCUUCAAAGGACUAAUCGGUCGGGCGGUAGAGGUGUACGUGGACGACAUAGUCGUGAAGUCCGACUCGUUUGAUCAACAUCUGAAAGACCUGGACGAGGUCUUCAAGGCCUUAAGGGGAGUCAAUAUGAAGCUCAACCCCGAAAAAUGUACCUUCGGGGUCGAGGGAGGGAAGUUCCUAGGCUUCAUGCUCACCCACCGGGGGAUAGAGGCCAAUCCCGACAAGUGUCAAGCAAUACUCAACAUGAGAAGCCCGAACAGCGUGAAGGAGGUACAGCAACUCCUAGGGCGGCUGACCGCCCUCUCCUGAUUCGUCCCCCGCCUGGCCGAGAGGACGAGGCCGAUGGUACAGCUCCUCCGGAAGGGCAAAAAGUUCGCUUGGGACGACCAAUGCGAGGAAAUUUUCAAGCAGUUCAAGGAGUUCCUCACAUCCCCGGCCGUCAUCCAGAAGCCGAGGGCCGACCACCCAAUCCUAGUGUAUCUGGCAGUCUCUGAAGAGGCAGUUAGCGCUGCCCUGGUACAAGAGACCGAGGGCGAGGAACUUCCUGUGUACUUCGUCAGCCGAACCCUCCACUCGGCCGAGACCCGAUACCAGAUGAUCGAAAAGGUGGCUCUCGCACUGGUCCUCACGGCAAGAUUGAUGCGCCCAUACUUCCAAAAUCACUCCAUAACUGUAAGAACCGACUACCCUAUUUUCAAAAUUUUAUCUAAACCGGACCUUGCAGGGAGGAUGAUAGGAUGGUCAGACGAACUCUCCGAGUUCGACAUACGCUAUGAACCGAGGGGUGCUAUCAGGUCUCAAUGCUUGGCCGACUUCUCGGCCGAACUGACACCACUACCCUCCCUCUCGGGCAGGUGGACUCUCUAUGUGGACGGCUCCUCAAAUAAAACAGCCUGUGGAGCGGGAGUCGUCCUGGAGGGGCCGGGCGACCUCUUCUUGGAACAAGCCCUCCAAUUCGAAUUCCGGGCGACCAACAACUAGGCCAAGUACGAGGCCUUGCUGGCCGGGCUGAACCUAGCCUACGACAUGGGAGCGCGCGAGGUUACAUGCAAAAGCGACUCCCAGGUGAUGGUCGGCCAAGUCAAUGGAGAUUUCGAGGUUAAAGAGCCUUUGCUGCAGCGGUACUACCACGCGGCCAAAAACAGCAUCGCCCGCUUCAACAAAGCACCCUUGCAACACAUACCGCGGGAGGACAACAAAAGGGCCGACAUCCUGUCAAAGCUCUCGGUCACAAAAAAGAAGAGCCACCAGAGAUCGGUCAUACAAAUAUGGCUGAGACACCCGAGUGUGACGGAGGCCGAGGCCGAGUGCCUGGCUGUAGAAGAAGAAGAGGCUGAGGCCGACAAUUGGAUGACUCCCGUCAUCCAAUACCUGACGGACGGCACGUGCACGGCCGACCAAGAGAGGGCGAUGAAGCAACAAUGCGCCCGGUACACCAUGAUCAACGAAGAUUUGUAUCGGAGAGGCUACUCAACCCCCCUGCUAAAAUGCAUAACCAGCAAAAGGGCCGAGUACAUCCUGGCCGAGAUCCAUGAAGGAGUCUGCGGAAAUCACGCCGGGGCGAGAACUAUGGCCGCCAAGGUCUUGAGAGCCGGCUACUACUGGCCGACCAUAAAGGGCGAAUGUUCCGAAUACGUAAAGAAAUGUGCCAAGUGCCAAGAAUUCGGCCCCCUCCUCCACACCAGGCCGGAAGAACUGCACAGCAUCAUCUCCCCGUGGCCGUUCGCCAUGUGGGGGAUGGACAUUAUCGGUCCAUUCUCCCCAGGGAAGGGGCAGACCAAAUUCCUCCUGGUGGGAGUCGACUACUUCACAAAAUGGAUCGAGGCCGAGCCCCUCGCCUCCAUCUCGGCGAAGAAUGUACAAAACUUCGUAUGCAGGAGCAUUGUCUGCCGAUUCGGCGUCCCACACCACACAAUAGUAACUGACAAUGGCCGAUAGUUCAUCGACCGAGGCCUACAGUCCUUCUAUGACGACCUGGGCAUCAAGUCCAUCACGGCCUCGGUAGAACACCCACAAACCAAUGGGCAGGCCGAGGCCGCCAACAAGGUCAUACUCAACGAGCUGAAGAAGCGACUGGGCAAAGCAAAGGGCCGAUGGACCGAGGAGCUGAUCGAGGUACUUUGGGCGUAUAGGUGCACCCCCCAAACUACCACACAGGAAACACCCUACAGUCUGACGUACGGAACCGAGGCCAUGAUCCCGGUAGAGGUGGCCGAGCCCACCAUACGACGACAGAUGUUCGAUCUCACCCUGAACGAGGAAAGCCUAGCGGUCAACCUCGACCUGGUAAGUGAGCUUCGUGACAAAAGCAAGAUUCGGGAGGCUGCCUGCAAAGCCUGGGCGUCCAGACGGUACAACACCAAAGUCCGGCCGAGAGGUUUCCAGAAGGGCGAUCUCGUCUGGAGAAUGCGCAGCGACGCAAGAAAAAACGAAGGGAAGUUCUCAUCCAACUGGGAGGGGCCUUUCCGAGUCCGAGAAGUCGCACAAGGAGGAGCCUAUCAUCUAGAAUGGCUUUCAGGAAAAAUUGUACCGAGGACGUGGAAUGCCACGCACCUCAAAUUCUAUUACAGCUAAAAUCAAUAAAAUCACGCAUUCUUUCCUCACCCAACCAGGGAGGUUUUAACGAGGCGUUUUCAUCAAAAGUGUUGGAAAUAUUCUACUGAAAGUAUUGGCCGACCGCCAACUUGCUCGAUUAACAUCGCAAGUGCCGGCCUGCCGACCGCCCGCUUGCUCGAUUAACAUCGCAAGUGCCGGACUGCCGAACGCCCACUUGCUCGAUUAACAUCGCAAGUGCCUUGCUCGAUUAACAUCGCAAGUGCCUUGCUCGAUUAACAUCGCAAGUGCCUUGCUCGAUUAACAUCGCAAGUGCCGGCCUACCGAACGCUCACCAAGCUUGCUCGAAUUUAACGUUCGCAACCUAAUGGCCGAUCGCCCAUGUUUUACUUGCUAGAAUUUAACAUUCGCAAUUUAUGGCCGAUCGCCCAUAUUUUACUUGCUCGAAUUUAACGUUCGCAACCUAAUGGCCGAUCGCCCAUGUUUUACUUGCUAGAAUUUAACAUUCGCAAUUUAUAGCCGAUCGCCCAUAUUUUACUUGCUAGAAUUUAACAUUCGCAAUUUAUGGCCGAUCGCCCAUAUUUUACUUGCUCGAAUUUAACGUUCGCAACCUAAUGGCCGAUCGCCCGAAUCAAUGGCAGACCGAUUGUUUAACUUGUUAAAUUUCAUGCCAAACUGAUAAAAGGAAAGAUGGACAAUAUAUUGAUAAACAAGAAGCACCGGACGAUACAUCAAAACACAAAAUAAAAAGGCCACGCCCCGACCUCGGAGGAUACUAAAAAAGGAAAAGGCCACAACCCGGCCAAAGAUGAACCUAAUCCUGGAUAUUAAUGCAGUCACCCUCCUCAGCCUCGACCUCCUUACCCCGAACCUCGGCCUCCCCCUCCUCGGUCCCGGCCGGUUCAGUUUCCUGAGCAGUUAAGGCGGCCACUUCAGCACUUGGCAUUAAUCGACCCUGGUAGACCUCACAAUCAAGGUCAAACUCACCAGUGGCCGGCGGCCCGCCAUAUAGCACAUGCGCUUGACGGACGGCUCGUUCAAAACAUUGCUUCAGCAGCUCCUCAGCCUCCUCAUAAUUCUCAUCCAGUUCGGCCUCGGCUUGCUCCUUUGAGAGUUGAAGGGCGGCCAUCUCAGUGGCCGAGGCAGAGAGCUGCUCACUCUUCUCUUCAACCAACUUCUUCAGAUUGGCGAUCUCGGCAGCCGCCCUCAACUUCUCAGCCUCCAGCUGACGCAUUGCCUCGGCCGCCUCCCUCUGCGUUAGCUCCUUCUCGGCCGCCUCUGUAGCAACCAAGGCCGACAGAUUGGUGUUCACGGAGAGGGACUGCUCCAAGGCCUCGGUAGCCUCAGAGAGUUUAUGCUCCAAGGAUGACACGACCUCGGCCUGACGAUCCCGACCUUGAAGCCCGCUCUGGACAAGGACAACCGAGCGGCACAUCAAUUUGAAGCCGCUCCUGAGGAGUUCCGAGGGAGAGACGUCGCGUAGGGGGUCCCGAGCCUCAUCUGGAAGCGCAACGCGAACCCUCCGGGAGAACCGAUACCCAGCCCCCAAGAUAUCAAAGGGCGUGGCCGCCCGGGCAUCAGCCACAGAUGGACCGGCCCCCGUUUGCACCAUGGCCCCAGGAGAGCCCGACACCGUCUCAGCUGGCACCCGUCGGGAAGGAGGAGGCGUCGGCAUGGACCCAGGUGACCGGGUGGUGGUGGCAAUGUUGCUAGCGCCCCUCGGACGUUUCUUGGACUUGUGGGUGGGGUCAGCCGACCCCUUAGACUUGCGAGAUGGGCUGGCCGCCCCCUCGUCACUCGGUGACGGUAUCACUUCCAAGCACCGACGUCCCCUACGCUCGGCCGCCUUCUGCCGAUGCUUGUCGAGUACGCUAACGGCGCUCGGUCGUUCGCUAACCAUGAUCUCUGCAAAACAAAACAGAGUUAAAAAUAAGGCAAAACAAAUAGACCGGCCGACAGACCAACUAAGGCAAACCAGGACACAUACCCCUCACGGCCGCCCAGCGCGCAGACUUGGCAUACGCACCAAUCAACCCCCGGCACGGAAGCCUCCUCGGGAGGGCGUCAAAAAGGGCAAGGACACCCAGCUCGUCCUCACCCUCCGUCGGCCUCAGCCACUCCUUAAAAUCGCAAGGCUCCUGGGUCCAAUAAAGGGGGAAUCUCGACCGCCCGGUCGAGUCAAAAAAGAGAGAAGUCGCCUCAGGCCGGAUCACGACCUUCACAAAUCUCUCUUUAAAACGUUUAUAAGAAAGGGCGAAGAGAUCAAAAAGAACACUACCAGGCCGGCCGGCCAGCGAAUGCCAGGCAGCCUUUUUCGCAGGAUGGGAGUUAUAGUAAGAAAGAAAACAUGAGGGCGUGGGGUGAAGACGCAUGACGUCACACAACAAGCGGAAGGCUUGAAGGGACGCCCAGGUAUUUGGGUGAACCUGGGUGGGAGCAACGUUGAGCGUCCGAAGGACGCCCAUCGUAAACUCAUCAAAAGGAAGGGAAACAAAAAGGUCGACAAAAAAGCAAGUAUACAUAUAAAAGAAAGGGGGGCCGGAACCGGGCCGCCCCAUACACACUCUCUUGUCCACCCCACAAGGUAGAAUGCUAAAGUGGGAAGAAUACUCCUCUGCCUUUAAAACCGGUUGCCUGCGCAAAAAUUUCGCCACAGACUCCUCGGUCCCAUAGGUAGACGACAUCUCCAUCACCCUAGGAUCCACCCAGCUAAAAUCCCCUAAGGGAACGGCCAUGGGGGGAGAGCCCGAUCGGUCAACAGCGUUGGCCGGGGCAUCCUCCCUCACGACCUCCACCGAGGGUAGAGCAUCGGCCACCCCAACCGAAACAGGGUCGGUGGUGAAUGACGAAGAGGAAGGAGAAGAAGAGGAUGACGACUCAGAAGACUCCCUCACAGAGGAAUAACCGACGGGAGAGGCCGGGUCACCCGAGGGAGGGGGGGAAGAACUAGGCUCACAACACAUAACUAACCUUAGCUGACAGAAUAAGCUGGGCGAGGGAAGACAGCUGAACGGUCACUCAACUCUCAGCAGUGGAUGAAAGAUUACUCGACUUCCAGAAAAACUUACAAGAACACAAAGUAGAGGGACCUCGUCACUAGUAGACCUCUAUUUAUAAGGCCCAUGGGCCUCGGAAUUCGAAACGACGAAUCAACCUGAACCGUUAGAUCUCUUAGAUCCAACGGUUCACAACAUUUCCCGCCCGAAAAACCCCUCAUUAAUGCCAAUCACGUCACGCCGCCUAAGUCAAGUCACACCUCGAAAAACGAAACGACCGCACGUCCAAGGGAGGCCAACCGACUCCCAUUAUCAAAAGACUCAUCGGACAUAUCUGACACAUCUGCCCUUGAGCCUGGGGGGCAAGUGUACCGGUACUGGGCGAGACUGGGACCCACCUGGCUGCCCGAUGCCCAGUCAACCUGGCCGAGGGACCGAAAGGCCGAGACCCCUUGAAGACUUGGCCGAGAGACCGAGAGGCCGAGACCUUUUGGAGACUUGGCCGAGAGACCGAGACCGUUGAAGACUCAACUGAGACGGCCGAAGGCCACGGGUAUUUGGCCGAUGGCCGGCCCUCAUCAUGAGAAUUUGGCCGAUGGCCGAACCCCAUUACAAUUAACGCUCAAACCGAGAUCAGUGAAGCUAAUCCAUCAUCAAGAAUUAGGUAAUGCAACCCUAAGCGGUAUCCACCUCGAUAAAUGGGCCCAACAAGGUAGGCCCACUAGAAUAAUAUAAAUAGCACGCAUUUCAAGGAGUAAGGUAUGUCAUUAUUACUGUUCACCUACCUGAGAGCUAACCACCCGCUUUACUGACUUGAGGGUCGGAGUGCCUUCGCAGGUACCCCCACCAUCCGGUGUUCACCCGACGACCGAGUCCCGAGUGCCGAAGGAUAAGCAGGAGGACGAGAAGAAUCCCAGUUCAUCACCCAGCCACCUGCCCGACCGAAGGAAGGAGAGGAAGACUUCAAUAGUUCUCUAGGUCCCAUCUCCCUAGUAGGAACAUAUAUGUUGAAACUCUUCUGACCUCGCAUCAUAAUGUUGGCACUAAACGUAGUUUAAUGAAUGAAUGUUCUACUUUCUUGUGGCAUAAACGUUUGAGACAUAUGUCCAAAUAAAGGAUGAAAAGAUUAGUAAAGAAUAAAAUAUUUCCAAAUUUAGAUUUUACGGAUCUGAAUGUAUGUGUAGAUUGUAUUAAAGGCAAACAAACAAAACAUAAAGAAGGGAGCCACAAGAAGCACUCAACUUCUUGAAAUUAUAGACAUUGAUAUAUGUGGACCUUUUGAUGUAAAUUCUUUCAAUAAAGAAAGGUAUUUUAUCACCUUUAUUGAUGAUUUUUCACGCUAUGGUUAUGUUUAUUUACAACAUAUAAAAUCUAAAGCAAUGAAUGUCUUGGAAGUUUAUAUAAAUGAAGUGGAAAGACAAUUAUAAAGAAAGGUGAAAAUUGUUAGGUAAAUUAGAGGUGGUGAAUAUUAUAGAAAAUAUGAUGAAAAUAGACAACACCCUGGUCCAUUUGCUAAGUUCCUUGAGAAACGUGGUAUUUGUGCUCAAUAAACAAUGCUAGGUAUACCUCAACAAAAUGGUGUGUCAAAAAGGCAUAAUCGAACCUUAAUGAAUAAGGUUAGGAGCAUAUUAAAUAAUUCAUCUUUACCUAUAUCAUUAUAGAUGUAUGCUUUAAAAACUGCCAUGUAUCUGUUGAACAAGAUUCCUAGUAAGGUCGUUCAAAAGACACAUUUUGAAUUGUGGACAAGUACGAAACACAAUUUAAGACACCUGCAUGUUUAGGUAUGUCAAGUAGAAAUUAGAAUAUAUAUUCCGCGAGAAAAGAAAUUGGAUGCAAGAAAAACUAGUGGAUAUUUCAUUGGUUAUCCAACAAAAUCAAAAGGGUAUAUGUUUUACUAUCCUACCCAUAGUACAAGAAUUGUUGAAACUGGAAAUGCACGGUUCAUUGAAAAUUGUGAAACUAGUGGGAGUGAAGCUUCACAAAAUGUGGAGAUUAAGGAAGUUAGAGUACAAGUUCCUUUAACUAGUACCUCUACUUCAAGUAUUGUUGUUCCUAAUCUUGUUGAACCACUCAAUGAUGAAGAAGAACAAGAAAUUAAUGAUCACGAGGUUAACAACGAACCUGUAGUAGAACAACCACAAGGAAUAGUAUUAAGAAGAUCUCAAUGAGAAAGAAAGUCUGCUAUUUCGAAUGAUUAUGUGGUUUAUCUACAAGAGUCAGAAAAAGACUUAGACAUUGAUAAUGAGCCAGUUUCAUUUUCAGAAGCAAACAAUGGUGAUAAUUCUAAUAAGUGGUUGGAUGCCAUGAAAGAUGAGCUUAAAUCAUUGGCACAUAAUGAUGUAUGGGACUUUAUGGAAUUGCUAGAAGGAUGUAAGAGAGUUGGGUCUAAAUGAGGUUUUAAGACUAAACGUGACUCUCAUUGCAAUAUCGAAUGUUAUAAGGCCUGACUUGUUGCCAAAGGUUUUACUCAAAAGGAUGACAUUAAUUAUAAGGAAACAUUUUCACCUGUUUCUAAGAAAGAUUCCUUUACAGUUAUCAUGACAUUAGUAACUCAUUAUGAUCUUAAGUUACAUCAGAUGAAUGUUAAAACUGCCUUUUUGAAUGAGAAUUUAGAAGAGGAUGUUUAUAUGGACCAAGCAGUGGGGAUUAUUGAAGAAGGAAAGGAACACAUGGUGUGUAAACUUAAGAAAUCAAUAUAUGGGCUUAAACAAGAUUCUAGACAAUGGUAUCUUAAGUUCAAUGAUAUUAUUAUGUGCUUUGAAUAUAAGGAAAACAUUGUUGAUCAGUGUAUAUAUCUGAAGGUCAAUGGGAGCAAGUUUAUAAUUUUGAUUCUAUAUGUUGAUGAUAUCUUGCUUGCAACUAAUGAUCUUGGUCUAUUAAGCGAGACUAAGAAGUUUCUCUCUAAAAUGAAAUAUAUGGGCGAGACAUACUAUGUGAUAGGAAUAGAAAUAUUAUGUGAUAGAUCACAGGGACUCUUAGGCUUGUCUCGGAAAGAAUAUAUGAAUAUAUCACAAGGGACAAAAAAAUCACAUGCUUAAGUAUAGGAAAUCUGAUCAUCUUGAGGUGAUUGGAUAUACAAAUUCAGAUUUUGCUGGUUGUAUGGAUACAAGAAAGUCCACAUUUGCUUGUGAGUAUUUUUUUGUCGGAGGAGCGAUUUCAUGCAAGAGUUUGAAGCAGUCAGUCAUUGAUGCACCCACCAUGGAGGCUAAAUUUGUGGCAUGCUUUAAGGCCAUAGUUCAGGGUAAUUGGUGUCGGAUUUUUAUUUCAUGACUUGGAAUUGUUGACAGUAUUGUCAAGCCGGUGAGAAUUGAUUGUGAUAAUUUCACAGUUGUCUUCGUUUCUAAAAACAACAAGUAUUCAAAAGGUGCUAAGCAUAUUGAAUUGAAAUACUUUGUCGUUAAAGAGGAAGUUCAGAAACAUAGAUUGUCGGACAUACUAGCACUGAUCUCAUGAUUGUUGACCCAUUAACAAAAAGGGUUACCGCCCAAAAAAUUUACUAGUGAUGUCGAGAAUAUGGGCAUUAUGUCUACUAAUGAAUGAUGAAUGUUGUUAUUAAUUCUUAUUUGAAACUCUAAGCUCAUUGAUGUAUAAAAGUUUCUGAAAUCUAUGUUUUCUACUUUAUGUAUAUGCAUGUAAAUUAUAGUUUGGAAAACAAAUUAUGUUAUUGUUGAUGAGGAUGACGUUAUGUUUAUAAAGUCAUAUUAGAAAGUAAUGAUGAUAUAAUAGUACAUGGAAGGAAAUGUGUUGAUUAAAUGACAUGUAACCGUCAUGACUAUUAUUAGUUUUGUAUUCUUGAUUUUGAUUGGAUGAUAGAACAAAUUUACGUAAGGUCUUUCAAUGCCCAUUAUGGUUUAUGUAAUUAUUAAAUCAUGAAAGUAUUAUAGCUCAUAUGAGUGGAAGAAUGUUAGAAAAUUGUGUAAAUUAAUUUUAUAAUAUGACUCAUAUGAAAUAGAUUUUGGACUUUAGGACUGAAUAUGAUUUAAAAAAAUAAAAGACCCAUUAGUUAAUGUGAAAAGUUAUAUAUAAUAUUAUGAUACCUAAUGAAAACCUAAUCGGAUGGAGAUUGAAAAAGAAUAGAAACAAGUUUUGUUUCUGCAAAGGAAGUUGUACACGCUUAACCAUAAAAAGAAAGGAGAGAUAGAUUGAGAAAUGAAGAUAAAAAGAAACUGCUCCCAGGCUUCUCAUAGAUCAAUGUAAGUGUUUAUCUCUAUUAUAAUCUGAUGUGUGGAAUGUGAGAAUAAUUGUUUGUAAGAUAAUUAUGAUAAUGUAUUUGAUUAUUAUACACUUCAAGUGUUUGGGAAACUUGUGAGAAUCUGGAGAGACUUGGAUGUUAUUACAUAUGAGUUAUUAUGAGGGCUUUAAAAUAGAUAGCAGCAUUACAUAACAGGUAAGACCAAGGUUCCAAGACAUCUCUAACAAUUGGUCAAAGGUUUCAGGAAGUGGAUAAUCUAGAGCAGCAAUCUAACAAUGGCAGCUGUAACAGCAGCAACAUCGUGCAUAGCAUUGUUCUGUUUUGUGAGUGG